CAAUAUAAUAGAAAUGUCAAAGGCAAGAGUUAGUAGACUGAAGAUAGAUCAAUAGAAAUUAUCCAACCUGAGCAACUGAGAGAAAAGAAUACUGAAAAAAACAAACAAACAAACAAACAAAAAAACAUGAAUAGAGUCUCAGGGACCUGUGUGAUAAUCACAAAAUGUGUAAUAUUUAUAUCAGUGGAGUCUCGGAAAGAGAAGAGAAAAUGAAGUGCAUUUUCCAAAAAACGUUAGAAAAUAAAUGGCUGAAAAGUUUAAGUUUUGUGAAAGACAUAAACUUGCAUAUUCCAGAAGCUAAGGAAACUCCAAACAGAAAAAGACAAACAAAUAAACAACUCCCCCACCCACAAAAAACCCAAGCCCAGAUACAUAAUAAUGAAACUGCUGAAAACUAAAGACAAAGUAUUAAAAACAGCCAAAGAAAAAAAUAGCACAUGACUUAUGGGGAGCAAUGUUUCAGCUGACUGUAGAUCUGUCAUAAGAAGCCAUGAAGACAGAACAAAGUGGUGUGACGUUUUAAAAGUCACUAUAAAUUUCUCAUGAAAAACUAUGAAGCCAGAAAGAAGUGGCAUGACAUUUUUUAAGUGCUGAAAGCAAAGGAAUAUUAACCCACAACUCUAUAUUCAGGAAAAUAUGCAUGACAAAUGAAGGAGAAAUAAAGAUAUUCUCAGAAGAAGGAAAACUAAGAGAAUUCUUAACCAGCAGACCUCCUUGAGAAGAACUUCUAAACAUUUCUUCUAAACAGACAGAAGGGCUCUAACCCGAGCUUCAAGCCCCAUUUGUAUGCAGCUGUCCAUGGGUGUCAGUAGUUGUUUGACUUAGCAGAGCCGAGAGCCCCGGGUUGGGAGUGGAGAGAAAAAAGGGAAGAGCUGCAUUCCAGUCAACAUGCUCCUGGAAGGACCUGACCUCUCCCGCUCACUUUUUAAAAAGGCUCCAUAGUCAAGGAAAGCUUUCUUGGAAGAAAUCUACAGCUGGGUUGCUGUUGACACUCUUUGUAUCAGAAGAAAGCCAUCCACGAUGGUCAGAGAAGCACAUCACAGCACCGAUUGCCAAAUUGCUUUGGCACAUGCAUGUGUGUGGGCGGGGACUGUGGCUGUGUCUUGGACACUGCCCAGCACUCAGUGGGCACUUAUUAAAUAUGGAAUAACAAGAAGUAUUUUAGAGGGAAAUGGCUGUCUGACACAAACAAGACAGCAAUUUUUUCACAUGUCAC
rnacentral:lncRNA from 1 species